rnacentral:misc_RNA from 1 species
CUUUCUCUUUCUCUUUCUCUUUCUUUUCCUUCUUCAAAUCUGUAACAACCACAACUUCGCCAUUUUCAGUUGAGCACCCACGAAGCAAAGCUUUCUCAACAAUUUUCAAGCUGAGAUCUUCAUUAGCUUCAACAUCAUCAUCUUCAUCUUCUUCUUUCCUUUUCUUACUCCGCACUCUCUUAGAUUUCUUCAUUUUUACCUCUGCUAAUUCCUCUACCUCCAUAACUUCUGAUUUUGAUGAUUUCUUCUCCUUCUUCUCUCGCUUACCCAUUGUUUUACAGUGAAAUUCCAAUCGAUUUGGUUAGGG